rnacentral:rRNA from 1 species
CCUACUUGGAUAACUGUGGUAAUUCUAGAGCUAAUACAUGCAUUAAAGCUCUGACCUCACGGGAAGAGUGCAUUUAUUAGAACAAAACCAAGCGGCUUCGGCUGUUUCUGGUUGACUCAUAGUAACUGAGCUGAUCGCAUGGUCUUGCACCGGCGACGUGUCUUUCAAGUAUCUGCCGUAUCAACUUUCGAUGGUAGUGUAUCUGACUACCAUGGUGAUCACGCGUAACGGAGAAUAAGGGUUCGGCUCCGGAGAGUUCGCCUGAGAAAUCGCGAACACAUCUAAGGAAGGCAGCAGGCGCGAAAAUUACCCACUCUCAGCACGAGGAGGUAGUGACGAAAAAUAACGAGACCGUUCUCUUAUGAGGCCGGUCAUCGGAAUGGGUACAAUUUAAACCCUUUAACGAGUAUCUAUGAGAGGGCAAGUCUGGUGCCAGCAGCCGCGGUAAUUCCAGCUCUCAAAGUGCAUAGAAUUAUUGCUGCGGUUAAAAAGCUCGUAGUUGGAUCUGUGCCAUAGGACGUGGUCCACCUUCGGGUGCGUACUACGCUCCUAGGCUUUUUGCUGGUUUUCCCGUCGUAGCCUUCACUGGUUGCGGCGGGUGGCUGGCGAGUUUACUUUGAGAAAAUCAGAGUGCUCAAUACAGGCGUAUCGCUUGAAUGAUUGUGCAUGGAAUAAUAGAAAAGGAUUUCGGUCCUCUUUUAUUGGUUUUGUGGACUGAGAUAAUGGUUAACAGGGACAAACGGGGGCAUUCGUAUCUCUGCGUGAGAGGU